UACGUAGGAUGCUAGCGUUGUCCGGAUUUACUGGGCGUAAAGCGCGCGCAGGCGGCACUGUAAGUAAGGUGUGAAAUAUCCCUGCUCAACGGGGAGGGUGCACUUUAGACUGCAGAGCUAGAGGACGGUAGAGGGGGGUGGAAUUGCUGGUGUAGCGGUGAAAUGCGUAGAGAUCAGCAGGAACACCGGUGGCGAAGGCGGGUCUCUGGGCCGAUACUGACGCUGAGGAGCGAAAGCGUGGGGAGCGAACAGG
rnacentral:rRNA from 1 species